rnacentral:rRNA from 1 species
GAUGAACGCUGGCGGCGUUCCUAAUACAUGCAAGUCGAGCGAAGCGGGGACGGGUGAGUACCACGUGGAUAACCUCCUAUACGACUGGGAUAACUUCGGGAAACCGUAGCUAAACCGGAUACUUAUAGAUGGAUCCGCGCUGCAUUAGCUAGUUGGUAAGGUAACGGCUUACCAAGGCAACGAUGCAUAGCCGACCUGAGAGGGGGAGGGGCAACAGUGGAACUGAGAAACGGUACAGAGUCCUACGGAAGGCAGCAGGAGGGAAUCUUCCGAAAUGGGCGAAAGCCUGACGGAGCAACGCCGCGUGAGGGAGGAAGGUCAGCGGAUGGUAAAACUCUGGUAUUAGGGAAGCGGUACCGAAUCAGAAAGCAAAGGCUAACUACGUGCCAGCAGCCGCGGUAAUAC